rnacentral:rRNA from 1 species
AUUGAACGCUGGCGGCAGGCCUAACACAUGCAAGCCGGGCGAGCGGCGGACGGGUGAGGAAUGUAUGGGGAUCUGCCUGAUGGAGGGGGCUAACUACUGGAUACGGUAGCUAAUACCGCAUACCAUCAGAUGAACCCAUAUGGGAUGAGCUAGUAGGUGAGGUAACGGCGCACCUAGGCGACGACCCCUAGCUGGUCUGAGAGGAUGAUGAGCCACAGAGGAACUGGGACAGGGACCAGACUCCAACGGGAGACAGCAGUGGGUAAUAUUGCACAAUGGGCGCAAGCCGGAUGCAGCCAUGCCGCGUGUAUGAAGAAGGCCUUCGGGUUGUAAAGUACUUUCAGUCGGGAGGCGUUACCGACAGAAGAAGCACCGGCUAACUCCGUGCCAGCCGCCGCGGUAAUUC